AUGGUCCAAGCAAUCAAGGUCGAGGACCACCAAACGAGGACUGCGACGAUGCAGAGACAACACCGUCAUCGCCUGAUGGAGCUGGGCCUUCCCCAGACCAAGGUAAUGGUACCCCAUCGCCACCGGCAUCCCCGUCUUAUUCUCCACCCAUGGCUCCACCUCCACCGUCAUCAUCAUCUAGUCCUCCACCACAAGCUCCAGCCACCCCACAAACACCUCCUUCUAGCCCCGCUGUUACACCUCCAACCUACGAACCUAACGAUCAGCCGCCACCACCUUCAUUCAAUCCUCCAUCCAACACCUCCAAUGGCCCCGACUAAUGAGCAACCUCCUCCACCAUCACCAUCAUUUAGCCCCUCACCAAUAGCUCCUACCACUCCUCCAUCCUACCAACCUAGCGAUCAAUCUCCUCCACCGCCGCCAUCAUCUAGCCCUCCACCACUAGCUCCAUCCACCCCACAAACACCUCCAUUUAGCCCCCCUAUUACACCUCCAACAUACGAACCUAACAAUCAACCACCACCGCCUCCAUUGAAUCCUCCAUCCAUUUCCCCACCACCUCCAUCUAGCCCACCUGCAACACCUCCAAUGCCCCCUACUACUGAGCAACCUCCGCCACCAUCGCCAGCAUCACCAUUAAGUCCACCUGCCACACCUCCAACGUACCAAGUUAACCAACCACCACCACCUAGUCCCUCGGCAACAAUGUCACCACCUGGCCCCCCUACUGGUACUAAUGGAUGGGUGCAAGUUCACAACUUCCGUGACACCUUAUAUUGGCAAAUCGCGCGCUUUGCGGUGUUAAUUUACAAGUUGGCACACAAGACGGAGAUGACCCUUGUCGAUGUGUUGUAUGUGAGCAUGCAACCUUCUGGAAAAGGCAACAACUACUUUCUUGAGAUAAAAGUUGCAGAUAAAAAUAACAAGGUUGGCAAGUAUCAAGUCCUCGUAUGGGGUGUACCUGGGUCAACAGCUCAACCAUGGCAACUACUGUCGUUUAAAUUAAUAGGAUACUAA
rnacentral:rRNA from 1 species